CAGCCGCCGCGGUAAAACGAAGGGUGCAAGCGUUAAUCGGAAUUACUGGGCGUAAAGCGUGCGUAGGCGGUUUGUUAAGUCUGUUGUGAAAUCCCCGGGCUCAACCUGGGAAUGGCAAUGGAUACUGGCAAGCUAGAGUGUGUCAGAGGAUGGUGGAAUUCCCGGUGUAGCGGUGAAAUGCGUAGAGAUCGGGAGGAACAUCAGUGGCGAAGGCGGCCAUCUGGGACAACACUGACGCUGAGGCACGAAAGCGUGGGGAGCAAACAGGAUUAGAUACCCGGGUAGUCCCUGUCUCUUAUAC
rnacentral:rRNA from 1 species